rnacentral:rRNA from 1 species
UACGUAGGUGGCAAGCGUUGUCCGGAAUUAUUGGGCGUAAAGCGCGCGCAGGCGGUCCUUUAAGUCUGAUGUGAAAGCCCACGGCUCAACCGUGGAGGGUCAUUGGAAACUGGGGGGACUUGAGUGCAGGAGAGAAGAGUGGAAUUCCACGUGUAGCGGUGAAAUGCGUAGAUAUCUGGAGGAACACCGGUGGCGAAGGCGGCAUCCUGGACCGGUAUUGACGCUGAUGCGCGAAAGCCAGGGGAGCAAAAC